CCUUUCAAUGCAGCAGAAUUGGGAUGGUUGGGUAUCUCGCCUCUCCGUUCUGCCUGUAUUCUACCCUUGUUUGUCAUAUACUAUUAUUUCCUCGGCAGGCUUGCCUGCCGAGUGAAACCAUUUAUAACCUUUUUAAUUUUCAAUCAGCGUCUGAAAAAAAUUAAUAAUUA
rnacentral:misc_RNA from 1 species